rnacentral:rRNA from 1 species
GAUGAACGCUGGCGGCGUGCUUAACUCAUGCAAGUCGAACGAAGCAUUUAAGACAGAUUACUUCGGUUUGAAGUCUUUUAUGACUGAGUGGCGGACGGGUGAGUAACGCGUGGGUAACCUGCCUCAUACAGGGGGAUAGCAGCUGGAAACGGCUGGUAAUACCGCAUAAGCGCACAGUACCACAUGGUACAGUGUGAAAAACUCCGGUGGUAUGAGAUGGACCCGCGUCUGAUUAGCUUGUUGGCGGGGUAACGGCCCACCAAGGCGACGAUCAGUAGCCGACCUGAGAGGGUGACCGGCCACAUUGGGACUGAGACACGGCCCAGACUCCUACGGGAGGCAGCAGUGGGGAAUAUUGCACAAUGGAGGAAACUCUGAUGCAGCGACGCCGCGUGAGUGAAGAAGUAGUUCGCUAUGUAAAGCUCUAUCAGCAGGGAAGAUAGUGACGGUACCUGACUAAGAAGCUCCGGCUAAAUACGUG